UGAAGCCCGAGUAAACGGCGGCCGUAACUAUAACGGUCCUAAGGUAGCGAAAUUCCUUGUCGGUUAAAUACCGACCUGCAUGAAUGGCGUAACGAGAUGGGAGCUGUCUCAACCAGAGAUUCAGUGAAAUUGUAGUGGAGGUGAAAAUUCCUCCUACCCGCGGCAAGACGGAAAGACCCC
rnacentral:rRNA from 1 species